AAUGAACGCUGGCGGCAUGGCUAAGACAUGCAAGUCGAACGGUACGGUCGAUUGGGUAACCGAGAGAUCGUAUAGUGGCGAAAGGGUGCGGAAUAGAUAGGUAACGUACUUCAAACUUCGGGAUAGCGUUCCGAAAGGAACGGUAAUACCGGAUGAUAUCAGCGAUUGUAAGGUUGCUGAUCAAAGAUUUAUCGGUUUGAAAGCGGCCUAUCUCCUAUCAGCUAGUUGGUGAGGUAACGGCCCACCAAGGCGACGACGGGUAGCGGGACUGAGAGGUUGACCCGCCACAUCGGGACUGAGACACUGCCCGGACCUCCACGGAGGGCUGCAGUAACGAAUAUUGGGCAAUGGGCGAAAGCCUGACCCAGCGAUGCCGCGUAUAGGAUGAAGUUCUUCGGAAUGUAAACUAUUGUCAGGGGUUAGAAAGCCGUAAGGUUGAUCAGCCCCGGAGGAAGUCACGACUAACUUCGUG
rnacentral:rRNA from 1 species